CCUACGGGAGGCAGCAGUAAGGAAUAUUGGUCAAUGGGCGCAAGCCUGAACCAGCCAUGCCGCGUGCAGGAAGACGGCCCUACGGGUUGUAAACUGCUUUUGUACCGGAAUAAACCCCCGAUCGUGAUCGGGGCUGAAUGUACGGUAAGAAUAAGGAUCGGCUAACUCCGUGCCAGCAGCCGCGGUAAUACGGAGGAUCCAAGCGUUAUCCGGAUUUAUUGGGUUUAAAGGGUGCGUAGGCGGCCUGUUAAGUCAGGGGUGAAAGACGGUAGCUUAACUAUCGCAGUGCCUUUGAUACUGACGGGCUUGAAUGUACUUGAGGUAGGCGGAAUGUGACAAGUAGCGGUGAAAUGCAUAGAUAUGUCACAGAACACCAAUUGCGAAGGCAGCUUACUAAAGUAUGAUUGACGCUGAGGCACGAAAGCGUGGGGAUCAAACAGGAUUAGAUACCCUGGUAGUCCACGCCCUAAACGAUGAAUACUCGAUGUUGGCGAUAUACGGCCAGCGUCUAAGCGAAAGCGUUAAGUAUUCCACCUGGGGAGUACGCCCGCAAGGUGAAACUCAAAUGAAUUGACGG
rnacentral:rRNA from 1 species